CCUACGGGUGGCAGCAGUGAGGAAUAUUGGUCAAUGGGCGCGAGCCUGAACCAGCCAAGUAGCGUGAAGGAUGACUGCCCUACGGGUUGUAAACUUCUUUUAUAAAGGAAUAAAGUGAGGCACGUGUGCCUUUUUGUAUGUACUUUAUGAAUAAGGAUCGGCUAACUCCGUGCCAGCAGCCGCGGUAAUACGGAGGAUCCGAGCGUUAUCCGGAUUUAUGGGGUUUAAAGGGAGCCUAGAUGGGUUGUUAAGUCAGUUGUGAAAGGUUGCGGCUCAACCGUACAAGUGCAGUUGAUACUGGCAGUCUGGAGUACGGGAGAGGUAGGCGGAAUGCGUGGUGUAGCGGUGAAAUGCUUAGAUAUCACGAAGAACUCCGAUUGCGAAGGCAGCUUACUAAACUGCCACUGACAUUGAGGCUCGAAAGUGUGGGUAUCAAACAGGAUUAGAUACCCCUGUAGUC
rnacentral:rRNA from 1 species